AGAGUUUGAUCAUGGCUCAGAACGUACGCUGGCGGCACGCCUAACACAUGCAAGUCGAACGAAGUAGCAAUACUUAGUGGCAGACGGGUGAGUAACAUGUAGGUAUCUGCCCUUUGGCCUGGAAUAACACGAGGAAACUUGUGCUAAUACCGGAUAAGUCUUUACAGAGAAAGCUUUAUGCACCAUUGGAUGAGCCUGCACUUGAUUAGUUUGUUGGUGGGGUAAUGGCCUACCAAGACUGUGAUCAAUAGCUGAUUUGAGAGGAUGAUCAGCCACAUUGGGACUGAGACACGGCCCAAACUCCUACGGGAGGCAGCAGUGGGGAAUCUUGCACAAUGGAGGAAACUCUGAUGCAGCGAUGCCGCGUGAGUGAAGAAGGCCUUUGGGGUGUAAAGC
rnacentral:rRNA from 1 species